AGUGAACGCUGGCGGUAGGCCUAACACAUGCAAGUCGAACGGCAGCACAGUAAGAGCUUGCUCUUACGGGUGGCGAGUGGCGGACGGGUGAGGAAUACAUCGGAAUCUACUUUUUCGUGGGGGAUAACGUAGGGAAACUUACGCUAAUACCGCAUACGGCCUACGGGUGAAAGCAGGGGAUCUUCGGACCUUGCGCGAUUGAAUGAGCCGAUGUCGGAUUAGCUAGUUGGCGGGGUAAAGGCCCACCAAGGCGACGAUCCGUAGCUGGUCUGAGAGGAUGAUCAGCCGCACUGGAGCUGAGACACGGUCCAGACUCCUACGAGAGGCAGCAGUGGGGAAUAUUGGACAGUGGGCGCAAGCCUGAUCCAGCCAUACCGCGUGGGUGAAGAAGGCCUUCGGGUUGUAAAGCCCUUUUGUUGGGAAAGAAAAGCAGCAGGUUAAUACCACGCUGUUCUGACGGUACCCAAAUAAUAAGCACCGGCUAACUUCGUG
rnacentral:rRNA from 1 species